AAAGAAGGUCUAAGUGCCUAUCUGAGACUAUUUUACCGAACCUGGGAUAAAUGUUACUUCUCAGAGAGUUUUAUCUGCUAGAGGAGCUGUCCUCUUCUAGCAAGCUGAGAGGCACGACUUAAGAAAGAG
rnacentral:lncRNA from 14 species